AUCCCGGAUUAAACUUCUUGUGUUCUUCUGAUUCAUGGGAGGCAGAAAUUAUAUGGCUAUUCGCUGAUAGCAUAUCUUCUACAUGAAAGAUUCUGCUUUUAGUACUAACCGUACAUUU